rnacentral:rRNA from 1 species
UACGAAGGGGGCUAGCGUUGUUCGGAAUUACUGGGCGUAAAGCGCACGUAGGCGGGUUGUUAAGUCAGGGGUGAAAUCCUGGAGCUCAACUCCAGAACUGCCUUUGAUACUGGCAACCUAGAGACUGGAAGAGGUUAGUGGAAUUCCCAGUGUAGAGGUGAAAUUCGUAGAUAUUGGGAAGAACACCAGUGGCGAAGGCGGCUAACUGGUCCAGCACUGACGCUGAGGUGCGAAAGCGUGGGGAGCAACAGG